AUUGAACGCUGGCGGCAUGCCUUACACAUGCAAGUCGAACGGCAGCACGGGGCAACCUGGUGGCGAGUGGCGAACGGGUGAGUAAUGCAUCGGAACGUACCUUUCAGUGGGGGAUAACGUAGCGAAAGUUACGCUAAUACCGCAUAUUCUGUGAGCAGGAAAGCAGGGGAUCGCAAGACCUUGCGCUGAUUGAGCGGCCGAUGUCAGAUUAGCUAGUUGGUGAGGUAAUGGCUCACCAAGGCGACGAUCUGUAGCGGGUCUGAGAGGAUGAUCCGCCACUCUGAAACUGAGACACGGUCCAGACUCCUACGGGAGGCAGCGGUGGGGAAUUUUGGACAAUGGGGGCAACCCUGAUCCAGCCAUGCCGCGUGAGUGAAGAAGGCCUUCGGGUUGUAAAGCUCUUUCGGCCGGGAAGAAAUCGUAUCAGCUAAUACCUGGUGCGGAUGACGGUACCGGCAUAAGAAGCACCGGCUAACUACGUGCCAGCCGCCGCGGUAAUAC
rnacentral:rRNA from 1 species